rnacentral:rRNA from 1 species
ACGGCAAAAGCUCAAAUUUGAAAUCUGGCGCCUUCGGUGUCCGAGUUGUAAUUUGAAGAUUGUAACCUUGGGGUUGGCUCUUGUCUAUGUUUCUUGGAACAGGACGUCACAGAGGGUGAGAAUCCCGUGCGAUGAGAUGCCCAAUUCUAUGUAAGGUGCUUUCGAAGAGUCRAGUUGUUUGGGAAUGCAGCUCUAAGUGGGUGGUAAAUUCCAUCUAAAGCUAAAUAUUGGCGAGAGACCGAUAGCGAACAAGUACAGUGAUGGAAAGAUGAAAAGAACUUUGAAAAGAGAGUGAAAAAGUACGUGAAAUUGUUGAAAGGGAAGGGUUUGAGAUCAGACUCGAUAUUUUGUGAGCCUUGCCUUCGUGGCGGGGUGACCCGCAGCUUAUCGGGCCAGCAUCGGUUUGGGCGGUAGGAUAAUGGCGUAGGAAUGUGACUUUACUUCGGUGAAGUGUUAUAGCCUGCGUUGAUGCUGCCUGCCUAGMCCGAGGACUGGCGAUUUUAUCAAGGAUGCUGGCAUAAUGAUCCCAAACCGCCCGU